rnacentral:rRNA from 1 species
ACUCUGUUUGCACAUCCACUCACACCUGUGGGCCUCGGGAGGUCUGUGGCUUGGGGGACUCUGUCCUCUUGCUGUGGUUCUAUGUCUUUACACACACACUGUAAUAAAGUCUCAUGGAAUGCGUGUCGCGUUUAACGCAAUACAAUACAACUUUCAGCAACGGAUCUCUUGGCUCUCUCAUCUAUGAAAAACGCAGCGAAAUGCGAUAAGUAAUGUGAAUUGCAGAAUUCAGUGAAUCAUCGAAUCUUUGAACGCACCUUGCGCCCUCUGGCUAUUCCGGAGGGCAUGCCUGUUUGGGUAUCAUGAACACCUCAACUCUCAUGGUUUGCCAUGAUGAAUUUGGACUUUGGGGGUCUUGCUGGCCUUGUGGCCGGCUCCUCUCAAAUGAAUCACCUUGCCAGUGUUUGGUGGCAUCGCAGGUGUGAUAACUAUCUACGCUUGUGGGGUCCUGCCAGGCAACCUUCACUGAGGGAGGUUCACUGGAGCUCAUAGAUGUCUCUCCUCACCGAGGACAGCCUUUUGAAUGUUUGAUCUCAAAUCAAGUAUGGACUACCCGCUGAACUGGGGCUAUCA